UACGAAGGGUGCAAGCGUUACUCGGAAUUACUGGGCGUAAAGCGUGCGUAGGUGGUUGUUUAAGUCUGUCGUGAAAGCCCUGGGCUCAACCUGGGAAUUGCGAUGGAUACUGGGCAACUAGAGUGUGGUAGAGGACAGUGGAAUUUCCGGUGUAGCAGUGAAAUGCGUAGAGAUCGGAAGGAACAUCUGUGGCGAAGGCGACUGUCUGGGCCAACACUGACACUGAGGCACGAAAGCGUGGGGAGCAGACAGG
rnacentral:rRNA from 1 species